AACCAAGUAGAAGCACCCGCUUCUCACCUGUGGCGACGCUGAAGCAGUUGGCAGGUCAAUCAUGUUACACAUUUAUUGUGUCUAAGAAGAGCGGGUAGUUAUACUCGCUCUUCUUUUUG
rnacentral:sRNA from 1 species